rnacentral:rRNA from 1 species
AUUGAACGCUGGCGGCAGGCCUAACACAUGCAAGUCGAACGCGUGGCGGACGGGUGAGUAAUGUCUGGGAAACUGCCUGAUGGAGGGGGAUAACUACUGGAAACGGUAGCUAAUCCCGCAUACCAUCCGAUGUGCCCAGAUGGGAUUAGCUUGUUGGUGGGGUAACGGCUCACCAAGUCGACGAUCCCUAGCUGGUCUUCGAGGAUGACCAGCCACAAGGGAGCUGUGACACGUUCCGGACGCCUGCGGAGGGCGGCAGUGGGGAGUAUUGCACAGUGGGCGCAAGCCUGAGGCGGCCAUGCCGCGUGUGUAAGGAGAGCCUUCGGGUUGUAGAGUACUUUCAGCGGGGAGACGAUACCCGCAGAAGAAGCACCGGCUAACUCCGUGCCAGCAGCCGCGGUAAUAC